UGCUGGAUACAAAAAAAUGGUGCCGAUUAUGGCUACAUGUCGCAAAUUUCUGUGUGUCGUCAUCAUAGCCAUCUGCGCUGGACUAGGCACCACAUUUAAAAUAGAUUCUCACGGUCAAAUAGAAUUCGAACCGCAUGAGGCGGAACGUUUCCAACCGCGUCCACCCUACUUUGACGACUGCCCGGGUGGUGACUGCCAUCGCUUUAAGGAAAACAAGGAGCACGCUGAUAACGUCAGCCUGGCUAAAGUUGAAUGGAAGAUGGUCUCCCAGUGUAUUCUCUCAGAUGUUGGCGAAAUUAAUGUCAAUCGAUUUCAAAAAUUAAUUACGCUUAUAUAUCUAAUGUGAUUUUUUUUAAAUACAUGGUCUCGCAAUUCGCACGUUUGGCAAAAAUACUUAUUUUUUCCAGAAGAGGAGAAAACCUGCAGUAAAAUUAGAAAGUGUAAAAUUUGUCAACUUUUGAACCCAUGUUCUCCUCUUCGGAUGCAGGUAACUUCGCCAAUGGUGACAGUAUCUUUUGCAAAUGUCAGGCUAAUUAAAGUUAUGAUCGAUUGACAUUAAUUACCCAAAACUGAAGAGCGUGUACUGGAAACCUCGAUUGUUAGUGUAUGAUACAAAACAUUUUUCAAAUUUACCAAAUUCGCUUAACAUCGGAAACACUAGAAACCAGUAUUUUUUCAGAAAUCCAGGUGGAACACGCUUAAAGAUAAUGUUACACGUUUGAAACUUAAAACCACUGGAUGCUAAAUGCAACAAACUGUACCAAACCCAUAAGAGUAACGUUAGCUUGAUAAAGAGGUUGGUUGGAUAAUUGCCAUUUCGAUUAUCGUCUUCUUCAUCAUCUUUGUCUGUAUUCCGGUCGGGGUUUGCUUCUUUUGUGGUUACGGCUGCUUCGCAUGGCGGAAACGAAACCAAAACCAACCACAGCCCCCACUUGCUUAUACUCAAGGAAAACUCGAAGCACGAUACCAGCAGUAACAACAGUACGGUCAAAACGCAAGAAAUUAGUACGAUAAACAACUGGUGGUCACCUUGGGUCACGCAAAGAAGAUUCGUAUCUAAUUAACUGAAUAAAGAUACAAAUGAUUGAAGAUUAUCAAUAAACAUAAAAAUAUAUAUA